rnacentral:rRNA from 1 species
CCCCACACUCCACUGCCCCUCCCCAUCCACUUACCCGAGCUUCUAAAGCUCCCUGUGCCCUCCAUGGCCGCCAUGGCCGCCUCGGGUCUCCUCUCGAAUUGGCUCGAUACCGACUCUCCCCCUCCUUUCUAUAGCCACCAGAGGCCUCCCACUACCCACCUAGCCUCCCCAUCCCCUCGCUUAGUCGCCGGAGUAGGCGUGACCGUGCUUCCCUAGGAUCGGCCACGGCCCGGUUCUCUGUUACCGCGGACACCUCGUGCUCUAGCCCUCCCUGGCGCUGUCCAACCCUAUGGAUGGAUGCGCCGCUCCUCCCUGAGCACGCCAGUGUGCAGAACUCCACGAGAAGUGGCCGGAGCCGCCGGAACCAUCGUCGGAGCCCCGCCUCCGUCCUCUGCUGUGGCGGGUGCCACGACCUUUCCCCUCGAUCCCUGCUGGUCCCCUCGGGUGCGGCGUCCCGCGGCAGGCCCUCCGGUGGUCCGAGCUCCACCGGAGCUGGCCGGAGUCGCCGGAGCCAGACGCCGGCCGAGCCCAGCCCCACCUCUCCUCUGUUCUUCGUCGGGCGCGAGGAAGAAGCCAGGCAAGCAGAGAGAGAGGAGGAGAUGGAUAAGGCGGACCCCACCUGGCAGCCACUCAGGCGCUGACCCGCCCGGUCCAUCUGGAUAAGUGACGGGCCCCGCAGCCCGUGGGACCCGCACGUCAGCGACCCGCGUGCCUGGCCCCGCCCCUGCUGACUGGAUUAAGUGGACGCGUACUCGGUGAGAGCGUUUUCACCUCGGGAAAGCAGAGUUUCCCUCUGUUUCGGCCAGAAAAAGUCCCUGAACUUCAACCCUUCAUAUCUUUUUAACCACAACUCCAAAUGAGCCCCUUCGAGAGAGAACCGUUUCCGGCAAAUCUUUUCGCGGCUUCACCGCACUUCUUGCCAGUGCCAUCUUCACCCCCAGCUUGCAGGUCAUGCCUGGAUUGCUUGCUUGUUUGGUGUUGUUCCCGUGUUCGCGAGCUAGGAUAAACGUUCCAGCCAGAGUCCCUGCGGAUUGGAG